rnacentral:rRNA from 1 species
AGCGAACGCUGGCGGCAGGCCUAACACAUGCAAGUCGAACGAACCUUUCGGGGUUAGUGGCGGACGGGUGAGUAACACGUGGGAACGUGCCUUUAGGUUCGGAAUAACUCAGGGAAACUUGUGCUAAUACCGAAUGUGCCCUUCGGGGGAAAGAUUUAUCGCCUUUAGAGCGGCCCGCGUCUGAUUAGCUAGUUGUUUGAGGUAAUGGCUCACCAAGGCGACGAUCAGUAGCUGGUCUGAGAGGAUGAUCAGCCACAUUGGGACUGAGACACGGCCCAAACUCCUACGGGAGGCAGCAGUGGGGAAUCUUGCGCAAUGGGCGAAAGCCUGACGCAGCCAUGCCGCGUGAAUGAUGAAGGUCUUAGGAUUGUAAAAUUCUUUCACCGGGGACGAUAAUGACGGUACCCGGAGAAGAAGCCCCGGCUAACUUCGUG